rnacentral:rRNA from 1 species
UACGUAGGGCGCAAGCGUUGUCCGGAAUUACUGGGCGUAAAGCGUGCGUAGGUGGUUCGUUAAGUCCGUUGUGAAAGCCCCGAGCUCAACUUGAGAAUUGCAGUGGAUACUGGCGAGCUGGAGUGCGGUAGAGGAAGGUGGAAUUCCCGGUGUAGCGGUGAAAUGCGUAGAGAUCGGGAGGAACACCAGUGGCGAAGGCGGCCUUUCUGGACCAGCACUGACACUCAAGCACGAAAGCGUGGGGAGCGAACAGG